rnacentral:rRNA from 1 species
CACUCUGGGACAAGCCCUGGGGACCGGGUCUAAUACCGGAUAACACUUCUUCGGGCAUCUGAAGAGGUUAAAAGCUCCGGCGGUGAAGGAUGAGCCCGCGGCCUAUCAGCUUGUUGGUGGGGUAGUGGCCUACCAAGGCGACGACGGGUAGCCGGUCUGAGAGGGCGACCGGCCACACUGGGACUGAGACACGGCCCAACUCCUACGGGAGGCACUAGUGGGGAAUAUUGCACAUGGGCGAAAGCCUGAUGCACGGCGCCGCGUGAGGGAUGACGGCCUUCGGGUUGUAAACUUCUUUCG